CCUGGUGGUGAGGUUCAGCGAGGACAGGGGUUGGGAUGGCGACGGGUACAUGCCCCCACCUCCCAGUCCUUAAUGCCUCAGGCCCACAUUCCGAGAAGCCCCUUCUCUCCUCCCCCCUUCUCAUCAACAACAGCAGGAAAAGCUGUGGGGGAAGCAGGACUGCGCACGGUGGAAGGAUGCAGUUCGCGCAUCAAGGAACUUCCGUUUGCACAGCGCGUUGGAGCACUUUCCACCGGGUGAAAUGCUUACGAACCCUGAGAUUCAGAGAGGUUAUGGUUCUUGUAAUGAAGAAAAUGAGACCUGGAGAAGAGAAUGACUUCUUUAAGGCCACGCAGUGACUAUUUGACAGCCAGGACGAGGACUGAGGUCCCAUCACUCCUGGCCAGGUGGCCUUUCCACUGCACCAUAGACUCAGAAGGUAUUUCUGACUGAGUUUGUGCAUGCGUCAGCAGAAAUCAAAUACAGAACACAGAGGAAGUUGGAAAGAAGAGAGCCCUGCAGCCUGCACGCUUGCAAGGUAUGCAGACUUUCCAAGCUCUGAAGACGGGGAGCGUCCACUCUGAGAAAGCUCCGGCAGGGCAGGUUUACAACUGCCGGCCGCUCCGAUCCCCUGGGUCAGGGCAGAGACGAUGGCGACCGAGCCGCGCCCACCUUCCUCCCCCACACGGCAUUCAGCCCUUGUGUUAUGGGACGAGCAUAAAAACUUUGAAGUGAACGUGGAUAAGAACAAAUGCUUUGACUGGGACCUGCCGCCUGGGUGUGUGGGCAGCUGUGAUCGUGUGGGGAUGGGCUGGAAGGACGUGGACAGGAAUGAGUGUGUCCUGGGAUCUAGCCACAUGCGGUUUCCCCAGGGGUCCCCGUGUCUGCCAUAAAAUGUAAGUAGGACUUUGACCCGGAAGGGAAGUCUGGGUGUGAAGGCCAAGUGUGUAAAGGCUUUUGUCUUUGGGCACAUGCUGGGCCUCGGUACCCUGGGAGCCUUUGCUGUUGGUGACCACUGAAAGGCCAGAGCGGGUGCCUGGCCCACCUCUGGGUUAAAGUUACUUUGUCACCAGGUGCAGGCCUCCUCCUGGCCUUGAGCGCUCCAGCUCUGAGAUGGUGGAACUGACUUCAGGGGUGUUCUUAGAGCCUCUGGUGAAGUCUGAUUGCCUUUUGUUCACUUUCCAGGAGUCUGGGACGAAACAGAUGGAAGUAGCCAGAGUGUGAAAGUUUCUUCAGGGGACAUCCUCAGACUGGCCGAGGCAGGAAGCUGGAGGGUUGCUUCCGGAGUGGGGCCUGCCUGGCACGGGCUGAAGGCUCUGGCAGGCAGGGUGGCCGGUUGUGAGGGCAUCCUGGGCUCUGCGUUCGCCCCGGCCCCGGCCCUUUCCUUUGCUGGCAGCAGAAGGCAACCAUGAGGCAUCCUGAGGCUCUUCAGAGACAUGGGUCAGCCCUGGGGCGUGAGGCAGCCUGGCCAGUGUCCAGGCAGCUACUGGGAUGCUGUUUGUGGGGCCCUAGGCUGCUGCUGACCCGCCCACUGAGCUCCUGAAAGGGGCGGGAAGUGCUCUGGCUCCCCCAGCCGUGGGCUUGGACGCAGGAAGAGCACCUCCCUGCAGAAGAAAGCCACAUGCAGACGGAGCCCUGCUGCCAUCAUUGCUUCAGCCCCUGGAUCCAGCUGUGCCUGCAGCAAGAUAACCCUGGACUUCCUGGUUAGGACAAACUAUGUUGAUUCUCGAUGGUUCCUCGUGUCCCCAUCAGCGUCCCCACACAAGUGAAAUGGAGGAAAGGAUGAGGAAGACUCCUCCAGGGACCCUCCGGCAAUGAGCUGUCGGCUGAGAAGCCGCUGGAGAAGAGGAGGAGGAAGAAGGCCAUUCAGUAAGAUUUGCCCUCAGGAGGGUGGAGCAGCCGCUGCAGGUUCUGAAGGCGUUUGCUAUGAGCGUUGAGAAAAACAGCUUGUGGGAGCCUUUGUGCCUUCGGAGGAGUAAUUGCCUUUGAUGGUCUGUUAAUAGGAGUCAUUAUGUGGUUAUUAAGAAGGGACUGCGAUGAGCCCAGCUCAGGCUUGCUAAGUUCAGGGGUCUCUAGGCUUAAUGUUGUUUCUGCCUUGCAGAUAAGGAGCCCCCUAGAAUGGGGGGCAGGGUCGGCCUUUUAGCCCAGCAAGGUGGGGCAAUGCUUGAGGGUGCCAAUUAACGCCUCGGGUGGUUGGCGGGAGGGCAGGGGCAGAGGUAGGAACAGAGAGAUGGUGAGCAAAAUGGGGAGAGGAAGGAGAGGGAGAGAAAGAAAUUGGAAAGAAUACUGGCCCCCGGGCUAAAUUCUAGAGCCUGAAUCGCCAGGGAGCCAUUACCUCUGCCAGUUCUCGGGCCUCUCCAGCCCUGUGGGUUUAAGUUCUGCAUUGAACAAGACCCCAGGACGACUGCUCUGCAUUUUCAAGUUUGAGAAACUCUGGUUUGGCGCUCACCAGGGUGAGGGACCCCUAGGGAGAUAACGGAAUGGAAUGCAAGGGGGGAACUUCCAUUCCUUAUCAAGGGUCCCAAGAACUGGCUGUUUGACAAGAAUUCAUUACAGCGGCUAUUCUGGCCCAGUUACUCUACUUCCCCUGGAAAACCCUCUAUGAAACCCAAGGCUCUCCCCUUUCUUGCGUGGACGCUCUUUUCAGUGUUCACCCAUCUGCACGCAGACGCUCAAAUAAACAGCA